rnacentral:rRNA from 1 species
AAGGCUGAAACUCAAAGGAAUUGACGGGGGCCCGCACAAGCGGUGGAGUAUGUGGUUUAAUUCGACGCAACGCGAAGAACCUUACCAAGCCUUGACAUUGAGUGCUAUCUCCAGAGAUGGAGAGUUCUUCUUCGGAAGACGCGAAAACAGGUGGUGCACGGCUGUCGUCAGCUCGUGUCGUGAGAUGUUGGGUUAAGUCCCGCAACGAGCGCAACCCCUAUCUUCUGUUGCCAGCGCGUCAUGGCGGGGACUCAGGAGAGACUGCCGCAGACAAUGCGGAGGAAGGCGGGGAUGACGUCAAGUCAUCAUGCCCCUUAUGGCUUGGGCUACACACGUACUACAAUGGCUCUUAAUAGAGGGAGGCGAAGGAGCGAUCCGGAGCAAACCCCAAAAACAGAGUCCCAGUUCGGAUUGCAGGCUGCAACCCGCCUGCAUGAAGCAGGAAUCGCUAGUAAUCGCAGGUCAGCAUACUGCGGUGAAUACGUUCCCGGGCCUUGUACACACCGCCCGUCACACCACGAAAGUCAUUCACACCCGAAGCCGGUGAGGUAACCUUACGGAGCCAGCCGUCGAAGGUGGGGGCGAUGAUUGGGGUGAAGUCGUAACAAGGUAGCCGUAUCGGAAGGUGCGGCUGGAUCACCUCCUUUCUAGGGA